GGGCACUACGAGCAUAAGCUUAAAACCCAAAGGACUUGGCGGUGCUUUAGAUCCCCCUAGAGGAGCCUGUUCUAGAACCGAUAACCCCCGUUCAACCUCACCUUCUCUUGCCCUUACCGCCUAUAUACCGCCGUCGUCAGCAUACCCUGUGAAGGCACCAUAGUAUGCAAAAUUGGUACAGCCCAAAACGCCAGGUCGAGGUGUAGCAAAUGAGUAGGGAAGAAAUGGGCUACAUUUCCUCUCUCAGGAAAUACGGACUGUACUAUGAAACAAGUACAUGAAGGAGGAUUUAGCAGUAAGUGAAAGAUAGAGUAUUUCACUGAACAUGGCCCUGAAGCGCGCACACACCGCCCGUCACUCUCCCUAAGCCACACUAAACUCAUACUUAAUAAACUAAACAGGCAAAGGGGAGGCAAGUCGUAACAUGGUAAGUGUACCGGAAGGUGCACUUGGAGAAAU
rnacentral:rRNA from 2 species